AACUAAAGGAUUAAGUUAUAUUGUUUGGUUAAAAAGAUAGUUAGGUUGUGUUAAUUAUAUUGUUUGUUGAAAAAUUAUAUAGGGGUAAAAUCCAAAUAUUAUUUUAUUAUUUAAAAAAUCAAUAUAAACUGAAGCUAUGACAGCCUUAAGGGAAACUGGGAUUAGAUACCCCAUUAUUUUUGGUUGUAAAUAAAUAAAUGUAUUUACCUGGGUACUACGAAUUUGUUAGUGAAUUUAAAAUCCAAAGAACUUGGCGGUGUUUUAGACCAUUUAGGGGAACCUGUCUCGUAAUCGAUAGUCCACGUUAUACCUUACCUUAACUUUGCAUUCAGCUUGUAUACCGUUGUCGUCAGGUAACUCUUGAAGAUUUAAAAGUUAGCAAAAAAAUUAAUUUCUUAAUAAAUUUAAACGUCAAAUCAGGGUGCAGCCAAUAGAAAGGAGAAGAUGGGUUACAAUUAUAUUAAUUAUAAUAACGGAGAAUUAAUCUGACAUAUGGUUAAUUGAAGGAGGACUUAAAGUAAAU
rnacentral:rRNA from 1 species